GAUGAACGCUGGCGGCAGGCCUAACACAUGCAAGUCGAACGAAGUCUUCGGACUUAGUGGCGGACGGGUGAGCAACACGUGGGAACGUGCCUUUAGGUUCGGAAUAACUCAGGGAAACUUGUGCUAAUACCGAAUGUGCCCUUCGGGGGAAAGAUUUAUCGCCUUUAGAGCGGCCCGCGUCUGAUUAGCUAGUUGGUGAGGUAAAGGCUCACCAAGGCUACGAUCAGUAGCUGGUCUGAGAGGAUGACCAGCCACAUUGGGACUGAGACACAGCCCAAACUCCUACGGGAGGCAGCAGUGGGGAAUCUUGCGCAAUGGGCGAAAGCCUGACGCAGCCAUGCCGCGUGGAUGAUGAAGGUCUUAGGAUUGUAAAAUCCUUUCACCGGUGAAGAUAAUGACUGUAGCCGGAGAAGAAGCCCCGGCUAACUUCGUGCCAGCAGCCGCCGUAACAC
rnacentral:rRNA from 1 species